ensembl:lncRNA
CUGUAAAGGUAACCUAACCCUAAAUGUUUAAUUUCGUAGUGUGUUUAUCCUUUGACAUAAACUUGCUGGUAAAUGCGUACAAUUUCUUAAAAUAUUAUUACAGUCAUGGAAACAAAAAAGAAUCAACUCAAAAGUAAGAAAAACGUAACUUCCAAUAUCAUACAGUAGUGGAUUUUAUGUACUAAAAUAACUGUUCUGUGUACUAACAAAAUAUGUUAGGAUAGUGUUAAUGCAACUCUUGCUAAAAUGAACAAAGCCAAAUCUAUGUCAAUAUCUUCUGUAUCUUCUGUGCAGUUGAGCUGCUGUUACUUUUUUAUUUGCUGUGUAAAGGUUGCUUACUGUAAUAUUUAAAAGGUUCUGCCUGUACAGAGUAAUCCAAAAAAGAAAGCUUGAGUUGCAUGAGCAUAUCUUCUCCUGUAGACAUUGCAUGAUCUGUCUCAAGUUUCUCCCAGUGUUUUUAGACAAGGUAUUGAUUUGGGGUUUGUCCUUCCUUCAGGCACAGCUUACGGACACUGAGUGCCCGGAGACUGACAGUCUGCUGAAGUGAGACCAUACAAACCUCAGUGAAGCCGUGCACAGGAGCAGCUCAGCAUGAAGGAGGUGGUCAGGCGAAGCUCUCGGGGCGCCCUGUUGAAAGGUGUGGCCCAAGGCCCAGUUCUGUUCCUGGCAGGGAAGGUGAUGGUGGUGGUGGUGGUGUAGGGGGGGGUGUAGGGGAAGGGUGGCUAGCUGCCAUGUCACCCAAAGGAGCCAGCUGAUUUAGAGCGAGGGAGAGAGGCGCUGGCUCAGACUCCCACUCAAACAGGAACUGAGGCUGCAGCUGAUCAGCGAAGACAUUCGACUGACUGGGAAUCCGUAACAACCAGAGACUAUUGAACAACUCUCAUUUCAUGCGGACUAUUUAUACAUUUCUAGUCAAUAUUGAAUUAUCAUGCAUUACCCUUGUAUAAUUAUUUCCUAACACUGAAGACGCCCACUCGAAGCCUUUGCUGAUUGUGUGCUUCUGUACACAGCUUCUGCAGACCACCCCCUCUCCCGACAAAUGUAAUUGUUCCGGCCUAAUUUACCAUAAAAUGAGAACUCCUGUUAUAGUAGGCUGUGAAAUUGUUUUUAAUUUCUAUUAACCCUUGAAUUAGACGUGAAAGAAACUCCUCCUUUCUGCAAGGCAAGCUGUAUUCAAGGAGACUUGUGUGACAUCUGCAUUUCAAGUAUUUGAUUUUUUAACAUUCCGCCGGCGCGCUGUUUAGCAUCCAUGCCUUAUUGCCGCGUGAAAUUAGACUCCGGGCUCGAGAGUUAAAGAUGCCCGGAGAGUGCGGAUCACUAUCUCGCCGCAGCAGAGUUCACGACGAGCACACGCCGCUACAUCUUGGCAUCGCACGGCCUGCCUAGCCCUGAGGAUAUCGAAUGCUAAUGCAGCGGCCUAUUUGCAUGUACUCACAUGUACUCUCCCUGCAAAUGUGAAACACUUUCAUAACCAACGCUGGCCUGUUCUCGGCAGUUCAGCAUCCAAGUAUGAUAAUUCAGCGAGAUGGAGCCAGGAAGAGAGCUGCAUGUGAGAAAGGGACAGAGGGUGAAGACAGACAUUACUGACAUCCCUCCCAUCUAUCCAUCUAUCCAUCAUGCUUCUGUUGAUUUGAUUCCCUUCUAUGCCAUUUUCUGCCAUUAUCACUGAUGAUAUUACAGCAGCCUGUGGUGCCGAGUUACAUUUAGAGGUCAAAACUGUACUUUCCUGUAUUAAAAACAAAUUUCUCUUUCCCGAUCCACUGGUCAGAGGCAGCAUUAGCCAAGUCAGAGGCUCCAUUUAGUUUAUUGAAAAAGCCAGCAGCUUGGAGGAUAGAGCAUUAGAUAUUAGGAUAGAAACCAUCAUUUGAGAUGAAAUGUCAACGGGCCACAUCCAAAACAGACCAUUUUUCAGUCUUUAUGUGCUAUUAUGUCCGAAAUAAUGAUUUCUGCUUCUCCUAUAAUCUAAUGAAAGAUAAGUGAUGGUGUGGAAGCCGUCUCCUUUGUUUGAAUCGAUGAACUGUCAAAAGUCUAAGGGUGGAGAAGAAAGUAAAUGUUAUUGUGCAAUGAUCAAUAAAAGUAGACUUGAAUAUGAGAGAGCCGUGUAUCCGUCAUCUGUGAGGUUUCC